AUUGAACGCUGGCGGCAGGCUUAACACAUGCAAGUCGAGCGGAGUGAUGGUGCUUGCACUAUCACUUAGCGGCGGACGGGUGAGUAAUGCUUAGGAAUCUGCCAUUUAGUGGGGGACAACAUUCCGAAAGGAAUGCUAAUACCGCAUACGUCCUACGGGAGAAAGCAGGGGAUCUUCGGACCUUGCGCUAAAUGAUGAGCCUAAGUCGGAUUAGCUAGUUGGUGGGGUAAAGGCCUACCAAGGCGACGAUCUGUAGCGGGUCUGAGAGGAUGGUCCGCCACACUGGGACUGAGACACGGCCCAGACUCCUACGGGAGGCAGCAGUGGGGAAUAUUGGACAAUGGGCGGAAGCCUGAUCCAGCCAUGCCGCGUGUGUGAAGAAGGCCUUUUGGUUGUAAAGCACUUUAAGCGAGGAGGAGGCUACUAGUACUAAUACUACUGGAUAGUGGACGUUACUCGCAGAAUAAGCACCGGCUAACUCUGUGCCAGCCGCCGCAGUAAUAC
rnacentral:rRNA from 1 species